GAUUUAGAUGAGCUCAUAGU
rnacentral:piRNA from 1 species